GACGAACGCUGGCGGCGUGCUUAACACAUGCAAGUCGAGCGGUAAGGCCCUUUCGGGGGUACACGAGCGGCGAACGGGUGAGUAACACGUGGGUGACCUGCCCUUAGCUCUGGGAUAAGCCUGGGAAACUGGGUCUAAUACCGGAUAUGACUCCAUGACGCAUGUUGUGGGGUGGAAAGCCUUGUGCGGCUAGGGAUGGGCCCGCGGCCUAUCAGCUUGUUGGUGGGGUGAUGGCCUACCAAGGCGACGACGGGUAGCCGGCCUGAGAGGGCGACGGCCACACUGGGACUGAGACACGGCCCAGACUCCUACGGGAGGCAGCAGUGGGGAAUCUUGCGCAAUGGGCGAAAGCCUGACGCAGCGACGCCGCGUGGGGAUGACGGCCU
rnacentral:rRNA from 1 species